rnacentral:rRNA from 1 species
UACGGAGGGUCCAAGCGUUAUCCGGAAUCAUUGGGUUUAAAGGGUCCGUAGGCGGUUUUGUAAGUCAGUGGUGAAAGCCCAUCGCUCAACGGUGGAACGGCCAUUGAUACUGCAAGACUUGAGUUAUUAGGAAGUAACUAGAAUAUGUAGUGUAGCGGUGAAAUGCUUAGAGAUUACAUGGAAUACCAAUUGCGAAGGCAGGUUACUACUAAUGGAUUGACGCUGAUGGACGAAAGCGUGGGGGAGCGAACAGG